rnacentral:rRNA from 1 species
UACAGAGGGUGCGAGCGUUAAUCGGAAUUACUGGGCGUAAAGCGCACGUAGGCGGCUUGGUAUGUCGGGUGUGAAAUCCCCGGGCUCAACCUGGGAACUGCAUCCGAAACUGCCUUGCUAGAGUAUGGGAGAGGGAAGCGGAAUUUCCGGUGUAGCGGUGAAAUGCGUAGAUAUCGGAAGGAACAUCAGUGGCGAAGGCGGCUUCCUGGACCAAUACUGACGCUCAGGUGCGAAAGCGUGGGGAGCAAACAGGAUUAGAUACCCUGGUAGUCCACGCCCUAAACGAUGACAACUGGAUGUCGGGAGGGUUUGCCUUCCGGUGUCGUAGCUAACGCGUUAAGUUGUCCGCCUGGGAAGUACGGCCGCAAGGUUGAA